rnacentral:rRNA from 1 species
GACGAACGCUGGCGGCGUGCUUAACACAUGCAAGUCGAACGGAAAGGCCUCUUUCGGGGGGUACUCGAGUGGCGAACGGGUGAGUAACACGUGAGUAACCUGCCCUUGACUUUGGGAUAACUUGAGGAAACUGGGGCUAAUACCGGAUAGGAGCUCCUGCUGCAUGGUGGGGGUUGGAAAGUUUCGGCGGUUGGGGAUGGACUCGCGGCUUAUCAGCUUGUUGGUGGGGUAGUGGCUUACCAAGGCUUUGACGGGUAGCCGGCCUGAGAGGGUGACCGGCCACAUUGGGACUGAGAUACGGCCCAGACUCCUACGGGAGGCAGCAGUGGGGAAUAUUGCACAAUGGGUGGAAGCCUGAUGCAGCAACGCCGUGUGCGGGAUGACGGCCUUCGGGUUGUAAACCGCUUUCGCUCAUGACGAAGCUUUGUGUGACGGUAGUGGGUAAAGAAGCACCGGCUAACUACGUG